CUUAGCAGCAUCCAACAGAUGCAGCGGUCCCACAACAUGCCCGCUUUCCGCUCUGUCCCAGGCGAGCAACGCAAGGUACUCCUGGGGGAGCCAGCAGAGCAGAGGUGUUUUUUGGCAGCCACUCGGCAAGAGCGGCAUCCUCCCCUGGAGAGAAGCAGGCAACGUCUGCCUGCACUGGCGGGCGCCGAGCACUCCCGCGGGCGGCAGCCUGCGCCCCUUUGAGCAGGAACGCCAGGUGGGGAAGCCAGUCUUGCGCUCGGAGAAAGAAGCCCGAGGAGCCCGGCAGCAGCCACUGCGGAGCUUGCUCAGAAGUUCACUCCCUCUGUCACAGUGUAUGCAGUUUGCCAGGACAGACAUUUUCUCCCUUGAUGCUACCUGGUUUACAUCACAGCACCUGGAUCCAAGACUGAAGAGUUUUAGGUGGAGAUAAGAAUCAGCCAGGAGGAGGAUUUUCCCAAUGCGCUAAAGAAAGAAAUAACGAAGAGGACUGGGGAUUUAAAGCCUCAUGUGCUUUGAAAGAACCCUGUAUCUCCUUUUAACCAGAGAAAUGAAGUUCAACUGCCAGAUGUGUGGACCAGGUAAGCAAGUACCUAAGCAUCUCGCUAUGCCUUUUGCCAAGACCCCACUGUGUUUCACAAACACCACAAGAUUUUGAGGUGGAGUCGAGCACUGUUUUGUAAGAGGAGAGACAAGAGGAUUGCCUGGCAGGUGUCUGAGCAGACCUCUGUUACAGCUCAGCCUAUGCUCUGAUUCCCAGGCCAGAUUUCUGCCACCUUCUCCAGCGAUCAUUAUUGCUCAUUUUGUAUCACUUCUAUGGACUACUCGAAAUUGCAAAUUUGCAAAUUAAUGCCUCAGAGUAGGUGUUAUGCCCCCCAAAAAAGAGAAUGAAGGCUGGUAUCUCUCAGUGUAACUUGCUCCCUAUGUAAACAGCCUUCUACUUUUGGCCCAUGUCUGAGUUCCUCUGGCCCAGAUCCCAGGGAGGUCUCUGAGCCCUGUAGUUUUCUGAGGUUCUGUAACCAGUGGUGGCAGGCUGCCCUUCUGCAGAGUUUCAUGGGGAAAAACACAGCAUAUUGCAUGGGGAGAAACACAGUGUAUUGCAUGAAACGAUGACAUGAAGUCCUGGAGACCUGGGAAGGCAUGGGCCACAUGCCCGUCUCUGGCUGCAUUAUGGCUCUGUGAUUUUCUGUGUGUGUUUCCUUACAUGCACACAUCUCAGCAAAUUCUUGCUGCCCAGUUUCAGGGGCACUGUGAAGGAGAUUUGGCCAUGAUACACCAAUGGCUCUAUUCUGGAAGAAUACAGAGUUGUUGACAUUGCUAUUUGCACAAAAAGCUGAGUGUUAACCAUUAAUUCGUUUCUUCAUGUGAUCUGCCCUCCCCAAUGCAUCCAACGCUAGUAACACCUUCAGGCCUUUGUUUGUGUUGCUGCUAGA
rnacentral:lncRNA from 1 species